rnacentral:rRNA from 1 species
GACGAACGCUGGCGGCGUGCUUAACACAUGCAAGUCGAACGAUGACGACCGAGCUUGCUCGGUCUGAUUAGUGGCGAACGGGUGAGUAACACGUGAGCAACCUGCCCUUCACUCUGGGAUAACCCCGGGAAAUCGGGGCUAAUACCGGAUAUGAGCUCCUGUCGCAUGGCGGGUGUUGGAAAGUUUUUCGGUGAAGGAUGGGCUCGCGGCCUAUCAGUUUGUUGGUGAGGUAGUGGCUCACCAAGGCGAUGACGGGUAGCCGGCCUGAGAGGGCGACCGGCCACACUGGGACUGAGACAGGGCCCAGACUCCUACGUGAGGCAGCAGUGGGGAAUAUUGCACAAUGGGCGAAAGCCUGAUGCAGCGGCGCCGCGUGAGGGAUGACGGCCUUCGGGUUGUAAACCUCUUUCAGCAGGGAAGAAGCGAAAGUGACGGUACCUGCAGAAGAAGCGCCGGCUAACUACGUG